GUGGCGCCCUUGCCGCUCGAUCAGCCGUCGCCGUCAGCUGGCAGCAUUCAUCGUCAAGCUCGUUGCCAGCCGCGAAAGCAGACGCUUACACCGAUAGCGGAUUUCGAUUAGCGGCAGGAAAAGCAAUUUAUUUCGAACGCGAACAGUCAAAUUCAGCAUUAGUGACCGAAAGUUGUAGUAAAGAACAGAUGUCGCAUAAUAACUCGCUUCGAGAUCAGGGCAAUUAAGAUCAUCGGGCGGUGGCAAAGAGCCGAAAACAAUAAAACCAAAUGUUAAAAUGUGAAAGACGACUGGACUACUCAUUUUCUCCACGUGUCUAGCAACGGCCCGUCGGCAGAGGUAGAUGACGGGUAUUACCUUCUACAUCACGCUGUGAUCAAAGAAUUCAGCGAAACCACUAAGGUACGAGUUGUCUUCGAUAAAUCGUCCAAAAUUUCCACUGGGAUAAGACCUAAAUCAGAUAAGACAUUAGUUCAUUAUGAAGAUAUAUUUUAUUUAUAUUAAAUGAAUCAAUCUGGACAAGAGGUCUUCUGCAAGAAACAUCCAUCAAGGAUGAAUAAAAAAAGACACUCAUAAUCUGGUGACUGCAAGGGUGAGUGCCAGUAAAGCUUCAUUUGCUUCAUGAAAAUCUGAGUCUGCAAAUAGUACUUCUUAAGAAUUCUGUUUUUCUAUAAUGGAGCAUUAGUUUAUGUGUGGGACACGAGAAUAAAAAAAUCAUCAUCGGAAUGCCCUGGCUAUUGACUUCCAUGCAACUUUGAUGCAUCAAGUUUUAGGGAGUUCUUGUAAUAAUUUGCAAGAUUCGGUUGGAAAAAAAUAUUCUGCUAUUAAGUUAUCAAUCAAGUAAAUAUGUAGGAAACAUUUAUAAACAUUACAUUUAAAAAUGGGAAAUUUGAGAGAUUUUACAACUAACAAAGAAACAAUACACUUUUGUACACAUUUGUUUAAUCCUCCUAUAUUUACUGCAUCAUUUAGACAAGUCGAAGAUGGAGUUUUAUGUGGUAAUGGCAUAUUGAAAGAAAUUAAUGGUUUAGGAUGGUGCACAGUUUUAAAAAAAUGUAUUUACAAUUGAGCUGUGUAUCAUAGCACACAUUAUACUCGAGUGAAAAAAAUAGACGACACUAUUGUUCUUCUAAAUGACGGUAACUUUGGAAGAAUGUUAAAUAUUAUAGAUAAUAAUACUGUAUGUUUUUUGGAAUUAUGUAUUGUCAAAGUAUUCUUAGACCUUCCUUUUUUUGGAAUUUCACACAUUAAAAAAAUUAAAUCUGAGAACGAAGAUAAUAAAAUCGUUGUUUCAAUAUCUAUAAUGUUUCAACUAAAGCAUUGAUUGUCGAUGUUCGCAAAAUGCACGGUACUUAUGUACA